rnacentral:rRNA from 1 species
AAUGAACGUUGGCAGCGUGGAUUAGGCAUGCAAGUCGAACGGUAACGCGGGGCAACCUGGCGACGAGUGGCGAACGGGUGAGUAAUGCAUCGGAACGUGCCCAGUAGUGGGGGAUAGCCCGGCGAAAGCCGGAUUAAUACCGCAUACGACCUACGGGUGAAAGCAGGGGAUCGCAAGACCUUGCGCUAUGGGAGCGGCCGAGGUCAGAUUAGGUAGCUGGGGGGGUAAAGGCCUACCAAGCCUACGAUCUGUAGCUGGUCUGAGAGGACGACCAGCCACACUGGGACUGAGACACGGCCCAGACUCCUACGGGAGGCAGCAGUGGGGAAUUUUGGACAAUGGGCGCAAGCCUGAUCCAGCCAUGCCGCGUGCGGGAAGAAGGCCUUCGGGUUGUAAACCGCUUUUGUCAGGGAAGAAACGCUCUGGGUUAAUACCCCGGGGUAAUGACGGUACCUGAAGAAUAAGCACCGGCUAACUACGUGCCAGCCGCCGCCGUAA